rnacentral:rRNA from 1 species
UACGUAGGGUGCGAGCGUUAAUCGGAAUUACUGGGCGUAAAGCGCACGUAGGCGGAUCUGUAAGUCAGGGGUGAAAUCCCGGGGCUCAACCUCGGAACUGCCUUUGAUACUGCAAAUCUCGAGUCCGGAAGAGGUGAGUGGAAUUCCUAGUGUAGAGGUGAAAUUCGUAGAUAUUAGGAAGAACACCAGUGGCGAAGGCGGCUCACUGGUCCGGUACUGACGCUGAGGUGCGAAAGCGUGGGGAGCAAACAGG